GUGUUGUACGAAUGGAGAGACGGUUAGCACUCCCCUAGACAAGGAUGGAACACGCAUAAGGUUGAGGCACCGCUGACCCAUUUUCUUA